UCGUAACUUUGUUUUGUGAUUUAUAAAGUGGAUGUAAUAAUGUUUGAUGUUCAGCUAUCUUCUCUUCAAUGGCUCCUGGUCCUCAAGAUCUUUGUUUCCAUCAAUGGAUUACGCAUAUUACAUGGAGAUUUGGAAUCCGGAGAGGCGAUCGAUAGCCGCGUGUGGCCUGUCCCGUGAGGCCUUCGCGUUCGCGCGCGGCUGUAAAGCUGCAUGAUCGAUCUUCGUGGGCAACUUUCGUUUCGUGUACUUGCCUGUCGCCUGGAAUUCGUUGUUUCGUCGUGUUAACGCCCGCGCGCCGCUUUCGUGAUGAUAAAAGUCGAUUUUCUCUGCAGCGGCGCCGCCGGGCUACGCGUUGAAUCCGUGCCCAUCGCGUGAGGGCCGCGGUCUCGCCGCGCGCGAUUCGGAGCCCUAGCUCCUUCUGAUUCCCGUUUUCAGAAACCUAGAGGAUGUCGCGCCGCAACGGAUCUAUAUCCCGCGCAGUGGAGGCAGCCUCCAAAAACCGACUACACAUGGAUCGGAAUCCACAGCACUCCAGGAUUACCGACCCGUCGAACCCUGCUGGCCGUCGCAAAGAGAUCGACAAUGUGAUGAAGCGAGCUCGUCAGGCCUCACCGGGCAGCUGGGACAGGAAACUUCUAGAAGUUGAACAGAAAGACCCAAAUAG